rnacentral:lncRNA from 1 species
AAAUUAUUUGUGAUUUAUUUUUAAUUUUUUUAGUCUACUAACCCUCUCAAAAAUUUAUAUUGUAAAAUUAAAUCUCUCAAAUUUAUAUUUGCAAAAAUAGGUUCCGAGUUGACACAUGGGCGCCAAGCGGGUGGAACGACGUAAAGGUAGGCAAAAAUAGGUUCCGAGUAGACACGUGGGUGCCAAGCGGGUGGAAUUACGUAAAGGUGGUGAACUAUUCGCUGUAUUAAGGUGAAAGCGGUGAAUAAUUUACCGCCUUUCGAAAAGUAAAAAAUUCUAUAAAGAUGGUGAAUCAUUCACCGCCUUCAGUAUAAGCAGUGAAUGAUUCAUUGUCUUAAGCAUCCUGAAUGGUGCUUAAAUACGGUGAUGUCAUGUCUCGAGAUUCUUUUGAGAAUCAUUUUUAAGGAAGACCAACGAAAUAACGUGUAAAUUUUUUUUUUUAUUUAAAACACCCUUAAGAACACCCCGCGAUGCACAUAGACCGGCCACAUGAAUAAAAGAUACCCUAAUCAAAUGGAUAGUCUCCU